rnacentral:rRNA from 1 species
CAGUAGCCACGGGAAUACGGAGGGUGCAAGCGUUAAUCGGAAUUACUGGGCGUAAAGCGCACGCAGGCGGUCUGACAAGUCAGAUGUGAAAUCCCCGGGCUUAACCUGGGAACUGCAUUUGAAACUGUCAGGCUGGAGUCUUGUAGAGGGGGGUAGAAUUCCAGGUGUAGCGGUGAAAUGCGUAGAGAUCUGGAGGAACACCGAUGGCGUAGGCAAUCCCCUGGGCCUGUACUGACGCUCAUGCACGAAAGCGUGGGGAGCAAACAGGAUUAGAUACCCGCGUAGUCCCUGUCUCUUAUAC